UACGUAGGGGGCAAGCGUUGUCCGGAAUCAUUGGGCGUAAAGAGCUCGUAGGCGGUCUGUCGCGUCGGCUGUGAAAUCCCGAGGCUCAACCUCGGGUCUGCAGUCGAUACGGGCAAACUUGAGUGUUGCAGGGGAGACUGGAAUUCCUGGUGUAGCGGUGAAAUGCGCAGAUAUCAGGAGGAACACCGGUGGCGAAGGCGGGUCUCUGGGCAACAACUGACGCUGAGGAGCGAAAGCGUGGGGAGCGAACAGG
rnacentral:rRNA from 1 species